rnacentral:rRNA from 1 species
UGGGGAAUAUUGGACAAUGGGCGAAAGCCUGAUCCAGCCAUGCCGCGUGUGUGAAGAAGGUCUUCGGAUUGUAAAGCACUUUAAGUUGGGAGGAAGGGCAGUAAGCGAAUACCUUGCUGUUUUGACGUUACCGACAGAAUAAGCACCGGCUAACUCUGUGCCAGCAGCCGCGGUAAUACAGAGGGUGCAAGCGUUAAUCGGAAUUACUGGGCGUAAAGCGCGCGUAGGUGGUUCGUUAAGUUGAAUGUGAAAGCCCCGGGCUCAACCUGGGAACUGCAUCCAAAACUGGCGAGCUAGAGUAGCGCAGAGGGUGGUGGAAUUUCCUGUGUAGCGGUGAAAUGCGUAGAUAUAGGAAGGAACACCAGUGGCGAAGGCGACCACCUGGGCUCAUACUGACACUGAGGUGCGAAAGCGUGGGGAGCAAACAGG